UACGUAGGGUGCAAGCGUUGUCCGGAAUUAUUGGGCGUAAAGAGCUCGUAGGCGGCUUGUUGCGUCGGCUGUGAAAACCCGCGGCUUAACCGUGGGCUUGCAGCCGAUACGGGCAGGCUAGAGUUCGGUAGGGGAGACUGGAAUUCCUGGUGUAGCGGUGAAAUGCGCAGAUAUCAGGAGGAACACUGGUGGCGAAGGCGGGUCUCUGGGCAUUAACUGACGCUGAGGAGCGAAAGCAUGGGGAGCGAACAGG
rnacentral:rRNA from 1 species